rnacentral:rRNA from 1 species
GACGAACGCUGGCGGCGUGCUUAACACAUGCAAGUCGAACGAUGACCUCGCGCCUGCGGGGGUGCUUAGUGGCGAACGGGUGAGUAAUACGUGGGUAACCUGCAGUUGACUCUGGGAUAAGCCUUGGAAACCGGGUCUAAUACUGGAUACUACUUCCUGCCGCAUGGUGGGGGGUGGAAAGGGUUUUACUGGUUUUGGAUGGGCUCACGGCCUAUGAGCUUGUUGGUGGAGUAAUGGCUCACCAAGGCGACGACGAGUAGCCGUCCUGGGAGGGUGACCGGCCACACUGGGACUGAGACACGGCCCAGACUCCUACGGGAGGCAGCAGUGGGGAAGAUUGCACAAUGGGCGGAGGCCUGAUGCAGCGACGCCGCGUGAGGGAUGACGGCCUUCGGGUUGUAAACCUCUUUCAGCAGGGAAGAAGCCACAAGUGACGGUACCUGCAGAAGAAGCGCCGGCUAACUACGUG